UGAGAAUGUAGGGACAGAGACAAAGCACU
rnacentral:piRNA from 1 species